GACGGGGGGGGCAAGCGUUGUUCGGAAUUACUGGGCGUAAAGGGCUCGUAGGCGGCUUUGCAAGACAGAUGUGAAAUCCCCGGGCUUAACCUGGGAACUGCAUUUGUGACUGCAUGUCUGGAGUGCGGCAGAGGGGGAUGGAAUUCCGCGUGUAGCAGUGAAAUGCGUAGAUAUGCGGAGGAACACCGAUGGCGAAGGCAAUCCCCUGGGCCUGCACUGACGCUCAUGCACGAAAGCGUGGGGAGCAAACAGG
rnacentral:rRNA from 1 species